rnacentral:rRNA from 1 species
AUUGAACGCUGGCGGCAUGCCUACACAUGCAAGUCGAACGGCAGCACGGGUGCUUGCACCUGGUGGCGAGUGGCGAACGGGUGAGUAAUAUAUCGGAACGUACCUUAUUGUGGGGGAUAACGCAGCGAAAGCUGUGCUAAUACCGCAUAAUCCCUAAGGGGGAAAGCGGGGGACCGUAAGGCCUCGCGCAAUUAGAGCGGCCGAUACCUGAUUAGCUAGUUGGUGAGGUAAAGGCUCACCAAGGCAACGAUCAGUAGCUGGUCUGAGAGGACGAUCAGCCACACUGGGACUGAGACACGGCCCAGACUCCUACGGGAGGCAGCAGUGGGGAAUUUCGGACAAUGGGGGCAACCCUGAUCCAGCAAUGCCGCGUGAGUGAAGAAGGCCUUCGGGUUGUAAAGCUCUUUUGUCAGGGAAGAAACAGCAGCUCUAACACAGUAUGCGAAUGACGGUACCUGAAGAAUAAGCACCGGCUAACUACGUGCCAGCAGCCGCGGUAA